CGCACGGGUGAGUAACACGUAUCCAACCUUCCCAUAGCUCAGGGAUAGCCUUUCGAAAGAAAGAUUAAUACCUGAUAGUACUUUUUCAAGGCAUCUUGAGAAAGUUAAAGAUUUAUUGGUUAUGGAUGGGGAUGCGUUCCAUUAGAUAGUUGGUGAGGGUAACGGCUCACCAAGUCUUCGAUGGAUAGGGGUUCUGAGAGGAAGGUCCCCCACAUUGGUACUGAGACACGGACCAAACUCCUACGGGAGGCAGCAGUGAGGAAUAUUGGUCAAUGGGCGAGAGCCUGAACCAGCCAAGUAGCGUGAAGGAUGAAGGUCCUAUGGAUUGUAAACUUCUUUUAUAGUAGAAUAAAGUGAUCCACGUGUGGAUUUUUGUAUGUAUACUAUGAAUAAGGAUCGGCUAACUCCGUGCCAGCCGCAGC
rnacentral:rRNA from 1 species